rnacentral:misc_RNA from 1 species
CCGCCUCGUGCGCUUUUCCUAUCUUCAUCAAGGCCGUAAAGCGCCUCUUGCCUUUUCCUGAAUACCGACGCCUGUCUAUAUGUGUGUAUAUGUUUGGGUGUGGAGCGGCGUUUCGCUUCUUCUCUGCUGUCAGAUCUUUAUCGAAGAAGGACUGAUACAAUGCCGUGUAACGUCGCAGCUGUAUGUGAGGGGAGUUGACAUCGUCGGGUCUCGUUUCCCACGUGCGCUUCCGUCCUGCUUGUACGUGUUCGUGCGUGUGUCACCGACAAGCGCACACUCGUACAGACGCAAUACCAACACGACUGUUUCUCGGGAUGCACGCCAUCCUUGCAUGUGAACGCGUUUGCGCACGUGCCGAUUGUGAACCGUUUCGUCCACCAUACUGGUGUGUGACACCGCUGUGGACAUUGAUUUUUUUUUUUUCGCGCGCUUGGUUUCCUUUACAGACACACCCUUCCGUGCGUAGUAUCUCGGGGCCCAGCGCACCCCCUCCCCCGCUCUUUGUGGGGGGAAGUCAAGCAGCCCCCUCCCCUUUCGAUCCCCUGCGAAGUGCCGAGCCACUUCUCGUGGUGAAAGGGCCAAGCACCUACGGCGAGGGGAAGUCAGUGCAAUUCAUCGCUACUGGCGCCGGCAGUCAGGUCCUGGAUGGCGUUGCGUUGGAGCGGCCCGCGGCAGCCAAUAUGCUCGGGCCAUUCAUGUGACAGGCGAGGUGGCAUCGUGAUUCCGACGCAUCCCACCCGGCCCUCACUGCCCACUGGUGCGGGGAGCCUGAGCCACGCCGAGGGUGAUGCACCAGGUGGCGACCGGCAUGAUUGGGGAGCGGCUCUGAGGCGACCCGCGGGGCGGCCUGGGUAGACUGUGAGGCAGCCGCCGUGCUUUGAUAACUGGGCCGGUGCGUUGCUGUAACACCUGUGUACACGGCUGCUCUGGACCACGCUGGUGGGGGCCUAUGCCAGGCUGGGGAUAGGGUGAACUUGAGCUCACUUUCCAUGGCAGAGUACGGACACGUUGAAAGGCAAACAUAGUGUUGAUGGUGUCAAGCUCGUUUGCGCCUGCUCCGUCUUGCCUUUCGUGUGUUGCCCUGCCACUUUUGCCAUCCAAGCCCCCUUCGCUUGACUCAGCUGCUCCUGUGAAGGGCGCGCACAGAUCCCCCUGAAACGUUUGCAAGCCGCCUGCGAGGUUGCAUGGGAUCUGUUUAAUUUGGUCUCACCGUGCCAAGGCGCCUUUUUCUCCCUUUUCUCCACCGCACACCGAUGCGGGCUUGCGGUAUUUUGUGAGCACAGCAGUAUCUAGGAAGCAGAUUGCUUAUCUUCUUUGGGAACUCUCUGUGUUUUGCACACUGCGCCUGAGUGGCGCCACCACAUGACCUCUCUCUCUUCCACUGUGGCUUGCCCGUGACGCUCUGCUCUCCUCGCUCUUGUUUCUAUAGUGUGCAAGGAUGAGGGAGGGGGCAGCGGGAUAGCAGCAGUGCAGGGGUAUGCUGGAUUCGAGAUGAGCGAUUUAGAGGUGUACGGUGGAGUAGCGAGGAAGCGGUGCAGACCGAGGAGGAUGAGAGAAAGGCGGAGGCCGCAGAUAGCGUGAUGGUAGGCGCCGACUCUCAUCCAAUAACAUAUGAAAGCGUUAGCUAGAAAAGGUGCUCCUUUGAAGGAGAGAACG